GAUGAACGCUGGCGGCGUGCCUAAUACAUGCAAGUCGAGCGAACAGACGAGGAGCUUGCUCCUCUGACGUUAGCGGCGGACGGGUGAGUAACACGUGGAUAACCUACCUAUAAGACUGGGAUAACUUCGGGAAACCGGAGCUAAUACCGGAUAAUAUAUUGAACCGCAUGGUUCAAUAGUGAAAGACGGUUUUGCUGUCACUUAUAGAUGGAUCCGCGCCGCAUUAGCUAGUUGGUAAGGUAACGGCUUACCAAGGCAACGAUGCGUAGCCGACCUGAGAGGGGAAUGGGCCCCACUGAAACUGAGACAGGGCCCAGACUCUUAGGGAGGGCAGCAGAGGGGAAUCUUCGGAAUGGGCGAAAGCCUGACGGAGCAACGCCGCGUGAGUGAUGAAGGUCUUCGGAUCGUAAAACUCUGUUAUUAGGGAAGAACAAAUGUGUAAGUAACUAUGCACGUCUUGACGGUACCUAAUCAGAAAGCCACGGCUAACUACGUG
rnacentral:rRNA from 1 species